UAGUACCCUUUACUGGCCGGGCUCCGGCAAUAACUUCCUUGUGAGGUGGAUUCAGGCUUCCCCGGGCGAAUAGCAUCUUUUAUUAAUCGUUUUUUUUUUUUUUCUUAGACUAAUAAUAAUUUUCAUUUGACUCAGUGCAUGUUUUCCUUUGAGGUCAUCAGUGAGAAGCAACUGUUAUCACUGCCCUGUGCUGGACAAACUCUAGAGGGCUCUAAGGUGACAGUUCUUGGGACCAUUGGCUUGAAGUAGCUGCCUGUUCCCAGACUCCUGUUCAGAAGAUGAAGCUCCACUUCCUGGAGAAAAUUGUGUUGUUUGAAUAUUAUAUAGUCAUAUUAAAGUACACUGAACACCAAAUCUCUUUUUGUUUGUUAAUUGAACAAAAGUUCUUUAUUGCCCUGCCAGUAAAUUUAGUGGUGCCUUGUCAGGGGAGCUCUUAAAAGUGAUUCCAUUGAGAAGAAAUUAUCUUCUUUUUGAUCAUGUGGUUCUCCUCCCAAAGACCCCUCCUGUUUCACUGUGGAUGAAGUCUAAAAUGUCCCUCCUGAAUUUCAGCUCCCCUUAUUAGAUCACCACAUUUUUUUAUAUCUGUGAAGCUUCUCCCAUGACACCCAUGCCUGACAUAUUUUUUCUUACCAUUUCCUCCACUAGUUUAUCAUUUAAAUAACUUUUGAAAUUCCACUUGUAGUAAUUUAAGGAGUGCUAACACCUCUCUGUCUACUGUCUCUUGAACACUAUCAUUCAGUUAUCCCCUAGAAUGAACUGGCCCUUGACAUGUGUGUGGUGUUACUCAAAGUGUUCAAUAUUUGGUUAUGAUCUUCUAAAUAUUUGUAUUGAUAUUGUAUUCUCCCUAAAGAAUACAUGUAUAUAAGUACCCCAGUCAAGACAGUACUAAGUAUCUGCUCAUUGAUAAUGAGGAGGAAGAUAAAGACUUUCUAAUAGCACUAGAGUGUAGUAAUCUACAAAUUUUAAAAAAAGAGACUUUUUUGGCUUGUGAA